GCUGAAAAUGGAUCACAGAGAUUUUAAUGCAGAUGUUGGCGUAGAUACGAUAUUUAUGCAAGGAGAUUCACUGCCACAACAGCUUCCUCUUAGGGCCUGGGCUUUGCAAGCAGUGCUGGAAUAUUUCAAGCAAUUUUAUGGCAACCCUCCA